GGUAUCUCCAAACUUAACGAGGAAUGACGAGCUGCGAACUCCCCAAGUGAGAAGACAGCUGAUUCAAGAACCUCAUCUCUACUUAUAAACAUUUAAAGUGUGAACUAUAGACUACUCUCAAGAUUAUGCUCUCAUAUUUAAACAUUUAUUCCUAUUUAACUGCAUUUAACCAUAUUUAUCCAAGUAUUGAGAAUGUUUUAUGUAUUGAACUCAAAGUUUUAUUCCUAAAAAAGCAUUUAAAAGUCUAGCCAGCUUUUUCUUUAUAAAAUAACCUUAUAUUUACUUUCAGAAUUAGAAUGGGUUGAUUAUUCCAUUCGGUUCUAUUGAAGUGUUGCCCAGGUUGCGUUUAAUCAAGAUAUCACCCCUGAGAGAAAUUAUCAUCGAGCAGUUCCGACUUGAUCCUACUCAGCAGGAAGCCGAUGCUUGGGGAACAAGCCACCUCCUCCACGUUCCUCUCGUAAGGCUCAGCCUUAAGAUAUAUAUACCAGGUGAACAUUAGUGAACUUGAACCUUUGAACCUUUGAGCCUUUAAACCUUUGAGCCUUAAGUUAACAGUUGAAUACAUUACUUAUUCUAACGAAACCUUUGUUAGGAUUAACCGUACCUCGUUGCCAUGCAUUAACUACGUUACUACCUCUGCUCGGAUCAUCCACGGUCUGAUGCAGCUCCUGACGGGUCUCAUCUACACCGUCUCAACCUACUCUUCCGAUUAUCCACACGGAAAGUAUCUACUCCUCCAGCCCGAGCAUCGUAAACCUGUAGUGCUCCAUCUGGUUCAUGUUCUCAAGGAUCUCCUCCUACCUCGCCUACUGGUGCAGCCAUCUGUUAUUUAAAAGGUGAAUAACAUGAUGAAUACUUGAGACCUAUGAUCAAUUUGUUCUAACAUUAACCUAUUUAGUUCAAGUUGUGUGGUCGAUGAACACUUUCACGACCUCCUCCUAGCAGCGGACCAUAACUGUACCUCAUCUACCUCACAUAUACCUCCCAGCCUCCACUGGAGAAGACUGAUCCGAGGCUCAACCUGCGGAUCAUUAAGAGUCUUGUUCCUGAUACUUAUCUGACUGCAGAGCUAGCAAUCCUACCUCAUGAUCAACUCGCAAAGCAUAGAGAUCUACUACGGCUACAAACCCC